rnacentral:misc_RNA from 1 species
AAAACAGAAGAAAAAUCGACAUCAAUUGAUCCAGUGAUCGACUGAAAUCUUCAAUUUCUCUGCAGAAAUGAGUCGUCAACCGGAAGUACUUUGGGCUCAACGAUCGGAGAAAGUUUACUUGACUAUAUCAUUGCCUGAUGCUAAAGAUGUAUCGUUGAAGUGUGACGCAGAUGGUGUUUUUAAUUUCUCUGCUAUUGGUGUCAAUGGCGAUUCAUUCUCCGUCACUCUCCAGCUUUACGGGAAUGUUAUUCCUGAGCGGUGUAAAACUAAUAUUGGGUCGAGAAUUAUCCUCUGCUCAAUCCAAAAGGAGCAAAGAGGCUGGUGGCCAAGAAUAUUGAAGUCUGAAGAGAAGCCUGCUCCAUACCUCAAGGUCGAUUGGAACAAAUGGUGUGAUGAAGAUGAUGAAGAAUAUUCGGACUCUGAUGAUGGGGGUGUUGCGUAUACUGGAGAUGACGACGAGAGCAGCGAUGAUGGAGGAAUGCUCUAUCUCCCAGACCUGGAAAAGGCAAGGGGAAAUUAAAACCAGCUGCUGAAAACUUUGAAAGAGGCUGAUGAUCAUCAGAGAUGUUUAGAGUUUAGUCUUGUAGGAAGCUAAAUAUAAUGACUUUCUUGCUUAAGUAUUCAGAUGUAUAGAGGUAUUUGGAAGACUGGUUUUAAGUCAUGUGUUAGAUCUUGUUUCACCUUAUCGGGCUCGGUAAGGAGUCACUUUUGUUAGAGAGUGCUUUACCUCUCAAUACGGGAUUCUCCGGCACGAUUUUGGAUUUAU